UACAGAGGUCUCAAGCGUUGUCCGGAUUUAUUGGGCGUAAAGAGCUCGUAGGCGGCUUGUCGCGUCGUUCGUGAAAACUUGGGGCUCAACCCCAAGCUUGCGGUCGAUACGGGCAGGCUAGAGUUCGGUAGGGGAGACUGGAAUUCCUGGUGUAGCGGUGAAAUGCGCAGAUAUCAGGAGGAACACCGAUGGCGAAGGCGGGUCUCUGGGCCGAUACUGACGCUGAGGAGCGAAAGCGUGGGGAGCGAACAGG
rnacentral:rRNA from 1 species